AAGAAUUGCCCCGUCUUCUCGAAGAUGGGUUCUAUUCCAAACCGUGUUUACAUACCUUUGUUGCUUUGGCGGGCCGCCGUUUCGGCGUUGGCUCCGGCUGACUGCGCCCGCCAGAGGACCACAACUCUGAAUUACAGUGUCGUCUGAGUACUAUAUAAUAGUUA
rnacentral:misc_RNA from 1 species